GAUGAACGCUGGCGGCGUGCCUAAUACAUGCAAGUCGAGCGAACAGACGAGGAGCUUGCUCCUCUGACGUUAGCGGCGGACGGGUGAGUAACACGUGGAUCACCUACCUAUCUGACUGGGAUCACCUCGGGACACCGGAGCUAAUACCGGAUAACAUGCUGAACCGCAUUGUUCAACAGUGAAAGACGGCCUUGCUGUCACUUAUCGAUGGAUCCGCGCUGCAUUGGAUAGUUGGUAAGGUAACGGCUUACCAAGGCAACGAUGCGUAGCCGACCUGAGAGAGUGAUCGGCCACAUGAGAGCUGAAACACGGUCCAGACGCCUACGGGAGGCAGCAGUAGGGAACGGGACGCAGAGGGCGAAAGCCUGACGGAGCGAGGGCGCGUGAGAGGAGGAGGUCUUGGGAGCGUGAAACUCUGUUAUGAGUGAAGAACAGAUGUGGAAUGAACUGUGGCGGUCGUGACGGUACCUAGUCAGAAAGCCACGGCUAACUACGUG
rnacentral:rRNA from 1 species